rnacentral:lncRNA from 10 species
AAAACAAGCUCAGGGCUCCCACUGAUUGUACAUUAUGAGACGGAGUCUUGCUAUGUUGCCCAGGCUGGUCUUGAACUCCUCACCUCAAGCGAUCCUCCCGUCUUGGCCUCCCAAGUGUCAGGAUUACGGGCAUGUGCUAUCACACCCAACCUGAUACAUUGCCUUUAUAAAUUUUUUUUUCUUUAUUCUAAAAACCAGAAAAAACAAAACUGGAUACAUGUGCAGAACAUGCAGGUUUGUUACAUAGCUGUACGUGUGCCAUGGUGGUUUGCUGCACCUAUUGACCUAUCCUCAGGGAAUUUCUUCCACUUGCAGACCAAGUGUGUUGGGGACUUGAGAUGCGUACAUGAGUGUGAUGUUUCCUGCUGAAAGCACAGGUGAGACGUGGUCUUGUAACACAGUGGUUAAGAAUGUGACUUUGGAGCCAGCCUGCUAGGGGCUGAAUUCUGACUCAGCCAUUUACUAACUGUGUGACCUUAGUCUCACUGUUGCUCAGGCUGGAGUGCAAUGGCAUGAUCUCGGCUCAUCACAACCUCUGCUUCCUGGGUUCAAGCGAUUCUCCUGCCUCAGCCUCCCGAGUACCUGGGACUACAGGCACUCGCCACCAUG